AAACCAGCACCUCAAGUGGUCAGGAGGAUUAUUGGGCCUAAAGCAUCCGUAGCCUGCUUUGUAAGUUUUCGGUUAAAUCCAUACGCUCAACGUAUGGGCUGCCGGAAAUACUGCAGAGCUAGGGAGUGGGAGAGGUAGACGGUACUCGGUAGGAAGGGGUAAAAUCCUUUGAUCUAUCGAUGACCACCUGUGGCGAAGGCGGUCUACCAGAACACGUCCGACGGUGAGGGAUGAAAGCUGGGGGAGCAAACCGGAUUAGAAACCCCGGUAGUCC
rnacentral:rRNA from 1 species